rnacentral:rRNA from 1 species
CCUACGGGAGGCAGCAGUAGGGAAUAUUGCUCAAUGGGGGAAACCCUGAAGCAGCAACGCCGCGUGGAGGAUGAAGGUUUUCGGAUUGUAAACUCCUUUUGUUAGAGAAGAUAAUGACGGUAUCUAACGAAUAAGCACCGGCUAACUCCGUGCCAGCAGCCGCUGUGAUACGGAGGGUGCAAGCGGUACUCGGAAUCACUGGGCGUAAUGAGCGCGUAGGCGGGAUAGUAAGGUAGAUGUGAAAUCGUAUGGCCUAACCAUAGAACUGCAUUUGAAAAUGUUAUUCUAGAGUAUGGGAGAGGUAGGUGGAAUGCUUGGUGUAGGGGUAAAAUGCGUAGAGAUCAAGAGGAAUACUCAUUGCGAAGGCGACCUGCUGGAACAUAACUGACGCUGAUGCGCGAAAGCGUGGGGAGCAAACAGGAUUAGAUACCCCGGUAGUC